rnacentral:pre_miRNA from 1 species
CAACUACUCCCUCUAUCCCAAAUUUCUUGUCUUAGAUUUGUCUAGAUACGGAUGUAUCUAAUACUAAAAUGUGACUUGAUACAUCCGUAUCUAGACAAAUCUAAGACAAGAAUUUUGGGA